rnacentral:lncRNA from 1 species
UGCUCUCGCCUGCAGACGAACGUGGCAAACGGAGAGCGCUAUAGCUCGAGCAAGGCCUUCAUACAGCCAGUCGUCAGGAGAAGGAAGAAUUUGCACGUCGCACUGUUCAGCCAUGCCACGAAGGUUAACUUCGAAGGAGGUCGCGCCGUGGGCGUAGCGUUCACAAGGUUCGGCCAACCACAGAACGUGUCUGCAGGGAAAGAGGUGAUUCUCUCAGCAGGAACCGUAGGAUCCGCUCAACUGUUGCUGCUCUCCGGUGUGGGACCUCGAGAGGAUUUGGAGCGCCUACAGAUACCAGUUGAUUGCC